rnacentral:lncRNA from 1 species
UUUUCACUCUCAAUAAUUUUUCUUUUUUUUAUUAAAAAAAUUAUAACUAAAGCAGUUUAUAAAAGAAAACUAGUUAUGAACCGGUUUUACACUGAAUUAUAAUUGGUUAAUUUAAAUGGUUCAGUUCAUUAACCAUUCAAGUGGUUUAGUUAUUUUAUGGUGCAAUGCAAUUCAGUUUAGACAUAUAAUUUGGUUAACCAUAUUU